rnacentral:rRNA from 1 species
UACGGGGGGGGCAAGCGUUGUUCGGAAUUACUGGGCGUAAAGGGCUCGUAGGUGGCCAACUAAGUCAGACGUGAAAUCCCUCGGCUUAACCGGGGAACUGCGUCUGAUACUGGAUGGCUUGAGUUCGGGAGAGGGAUGCGGAAUUCCAGGUGUAGCGGUGAAAUGCGUAGAUAUCUGGAGGAACACCGGUGGCGAAGGCGGCAUCCUGGACCGACACCGACACUGAGGAGCGAAAGCCAGGGGAGCAAACGGG